UACGUAGGGGGCGAGCGUUGUCCGGAUUUAUUGGGCGUAAAGAGCUCGUAGGCGGUUUGUCGCGUCUGCUGUGAAAACCCGGGGCUUAACCCCGGGCCUGCAGUGGGUACGGGCAGACUAGAGUGCGGUAGGGGAGACUGGAAUUCCUGGUGUAGCGGUGAAAUGCGCAGAUAUCAGGAGGAACACCGGUGGCGAAGGCGGGUCUCUGGGCCGUAACUGACGCUGAGGAGCGAAAGCGUGGGGAGCGAACAGG
rnacentral:rRNA from 1 species